AAAUUGGCAACAGCUCCUGCGUUAUAAGAUUUGUAUUUCAAAUCACCAAUGUGAUCAUCUCCAAGGACCUUCAGCUGAGGAACGGAACAUAUGAUUUAAUACAAAACAAGGUCAGCAGCCUGGUGCCAAGUCCAAGUGCUGGAAAAGGAAAUCAGCAUCUCCAUAAAGCUCGUCAGCAGAUGGAAGCAUGAAGUGCUCUAAAAUCUCCUGGUAGAUGCUGCAUUGACUCUCAACUUGAGAAAACACAGUGGACCAACACCAGCUGAUGACAUGGCACCUCAAAUCAUCACUGACUGUAGAAACUUCACACUGGACUUCAAGCAACUUGGAUUCUGUUCCUCUCCACUCUUCCUCCAGACUCUGGGACCUUGAUUUCCAAAUGAAAUGCAAAAUUUACUUUCAUCUGAAAAGAGGACUUUGGACCACUGAGCAAUGGUCCAGUUCUUUUUAAAGGCUCAGGAAACCUUUGCAGGUGUUUUGAGUUAAUCAGCUGAUUAGAGCUCUUCUCAGGUCGCUAUUUCUGUAUUAUAAAUUCUUUAUUCUAAUAUUUUGAGAUGCUGGAUUUUUGAUGUCCUUGAGCUGUAAGCCGUAAUCAUCAAGAUUAAAACAAAAAAGCUUGAAAUAAUUUCAAAAGCUUGAAAUAAUACAUUAUUCAGUUAAGAGGUAUAGGAGAGCCAGAAUGGAAUAUUCAUGAAAACAUUUCAACAAGCAAAAAGUCUAGCUAGGGAGGAGUUUUGAAAGACAAAGACAAUUUGAGUCUCCCCAAAGAAUUUUCACCUUACCUGUGGUCACUAGCUGUGAGUAUUGAACAAAUGAAUUAGGUCCCAAGUACAGGCAGCACAACUGACAUUUUCUCUGCAGACUUAAUCUUUAAGAUAAGGUGAGGAGUUAAACAAUCUGGGAGAGCCUCAGAAUAGAGAUGCUGCUCCUCUGAAUCGAAAGAAGCCAGUUGAAGUGGUUGUCAUCGAACAAGGUGACUAAACCCGCUAGAGCUGAAUAAGACAUGUUCCACUGGAUGGAGACUCCGGAGCAGACCCAGAAGUUAUGUGCUUCAUACAUUGUGGCAACAGUUUGAGGAAAGGCAGCAUAUGUGGGUAAUGAUCGUGUCCACACAUUUAUGGCUAUAUAGUGUAUUUUCUUGGUUACCAGUUUUAACUGUUAAGAUUUUAUUUCUCAUGUGUUGCAUUUUAAUUAAUUUUCAUAAGUCACCAUUUAAAUUUUAUUUCCAAUAUUUUAAUAUUCACAUAAACAUGAUGUUAUCAUUUUUACAUAUUUGUGGAAUGUGUGUAUAUAAUAUACAUUAAAUAACUUUCUUACAUUAA